rnacentral:misc_RNA from 1 species
ACCUGAGGCAGUAGAUUCCAGGCUGCACCUCCAAAGAUCGUCUUCAAAGGCAAAUCUGUAGAAGACCAGCCAGAGGAGUCAGAAAAGACUGACUCAGAAGAUCAAUUGACGAUUCUGAUGGAUAAGCUCGAAAAACUUUGUAUAGGCGCCACUCAUACUGAAAAACAGAAGAAGUAUCUUCCACAAAAGGUGUUCGAGAACCAGAAGCCUGUGGCAGACUUCGCUGAUAAACCUCUUCACGAUUGCAGAGCCCUUUUCUUAGUCACCUUUCGGAGUGGUUCUGCCUCUAUUUGUUAAAGUCCAUAGCAAAAAUGAUAAAGGCAUGACCGCGAGAGAAAACAAAUGCAAAUGAAUUCGGGUGGAGGGUGGGAAGAAGCAAUAAAGCACAGUGCACCGAGAUGAAUGAAUUUUUCUUAAAAGAAUGAAGCUUGGAACGAAUGAACUAAUAAGGAUGGUGGGUGGGUUCCUGGUAGAAGAAAAGAGGAAACAGUCAUUGAAGAAAAAAGCCAAUUGAAUUUCCAUGAAAGGAAGGGCAAAGAAGGAUUUGGUUACUAUUUGGGUAGGGAUGUGGGCAUAAAGGUACGUUUGAACGACUAAGGUUUAUGGGUGGAGUCCGUCCCAUCUCUGAAGACGAGGAAAAGGUAUCGAGAUUUAGCGUAGAAUGAAAGCGCGGGAUACAACGGUAGGGCAGUACCCAAGCAUCAGGAGAUGUGAGAGACCUCGCUUGAAGAAGCUUAUUGUGUGUGAAAAUCAAGUCGGGGAAUCGUUGAAUUGACUCCGCAGCUGAGCAAACGCUCGAAACAUAGCUUAGGGAAUGCCUUGAGCGAGCCGAGUGCCUAUCCCCUGAGUACGAUGCCCUAGAUCCAGCGCCAACCGAUCUAUAAGCUUUGGCCGGGCCAACCAUUGAUCUAUUCGACCGCGUUCCCGCUUUUUUUCCUUAAGUUAAGAGAUGCCGGCUUCUGGUGUGGUGGUUGGAACCUUGUGAAGGACCAAGCAACAGAACGUUAUGGGGUAGUUCCAAAGGAAAUG